rnacentral:rRNA from 1 species
GUGGGGAAUCUUCCGCAAUGGACGAAAGUCUGACGGAGCGACGCCGCGUGAGUGAAGAAGGCCUUCGGGUCGUAAAGCUCUGUCAUCAGGGACGAACGGCCGGUGGAGUGGAAAGCCACCGGAUUGACGGUACCUGAGAAGGAAGCCACGGCUAACUACGUGCCAGCAGCCGCGGUAAUACGUAGGUGGCAAGCGUUGUCCGGAAUUAUUGGGCGUAAAGCGCGCGCAGGUGGGAUCUUAAGUCGAUUUUUAAAGUUCGGAGCUCAACUCCGUGAUGGGAUAGAAACUGGGAUUCUUGAGUACCGGAGAGGAAAGCGGAAUUCCCCGUGUAGCGGUGAAAUGCGUAGAUAUGGGGAGGAACACCAGUGGCGAAGGCGGCUUUCUGGACGGUGUCUGACACUGAGGCGCGAAAGCCAGGGGAGCGAACGGGAUUAGAAACCCCUGUAGUCC